GAGAUGGACGCCAUUGAAGCAGAGGUAAAGACAAUGGAGAAAAAUAUAACUAAGAUCAGAACAAUCCUUUCGACCACUGACACAGAGAACAUUUCUCCUGAGGAACAUCUCGAGAACAUACAGGUCAUUCUGGAUAAUGUCCAGUCAAUGAAGAGGACCAUUGAUGAGAUUGAGAGCUGCAGGCCAGGCCUGGGGCUUCCUGCUGGGGCAGAGCAAACCCUCACAGCCUUCCAUCGGGCCCGAGAGCUCCUGCAGCCAAUCCAGGAGCUACAGCAGCUCAGCGUGGAGCAGAACUCCACUUUAAUGGCCUCUAUUGGGCAACCAGCUGAAAUGAUUCUCCCUUCAAACCAAAGCACAGAAUUCACGAUGUCUCAUCCUUACACUGGAAAUGUGACGGUGAGUCCAUCAACUCAAUCAAAAAUACACCUUAGAAGACAUCUAAAAUGAGGACGAGUAAAUAAGACUAAAUCAGCUCAUUAGUUCUGUCACUAUAAAAACCUGAAGAAUAAUAUGUCCUUGCAUAACCCUGGUGUGGCAGGUGUCCAUGGAAGCCCCUUACACUGAGAAGGAAGAUGAAGACAAUCAGUCUUCAUCCUCAGGAACUCUCACAAGCAGUAUUCCAGAGGACCCAGAUGAGACAAUAGAGGAGGAACUUAUUAAGACAGGCACUGCCUCUGCUGUAACAGAGUGUGUCAUUAAGGAAUCAUCUCUUGAAGAAGUAAUUGAUUUUCCUGCAGCUAAGCAUGUAGUACAGGACACUGACACAGGAAGUUGUUUACUGGAGCCUUCUGGCUUUCCUGAAAUGCCUGGCAUGGACAGCAGACCAGUUAUUGAAGAGACAAGUUCUCUACCUGCACUAACAUCCCAACACUUGAAAGAAUUUACAAAUGAUAGAUGUCUGAAGCAUGACGGUGCAAAUAUAGCUAAGGAAAAGCAAAACGAGUGCACGGAAACCAAGCUGACUGAAGCAGUACCAGCAAAGCCAGGAAUAUGCUCAGAAAUCAUCAUAUUAAAAUCAAGAGAUACAAGUGAAUUAAUUGAAGAGUAUGAAUCUGUACAUCAGAAUGAAGUAACUGUAAACACAGAAACAGGUACAAGUGAUCAAGUGAAAACAACAGCUGCAAAGCAACCUGUAAAUGUUACUGAUGGUGACCAGACCCAGACAGAUACUAAACCCAUAGACGCCGCAGCUCCUCUUUUGCUCUCCUCCCAGCUUAUAGAAUGUGUGCCAGAGGAAGAUACAACACUGGAAAUACAGCGAGAUCUGAUUGAGGCCAUCAUUCACGAGAGCAGCAGCCAGUCUCAAGAACACACAUUUCAGCACACAGCAGCUGUCAGUGAUGGAGGAGGUGAAGAUCAAGAGAGUUCAGUCCAGCUUCUCACCUCAUUGAAGGAAACAUCGGAGACCCUUGGAUCAUGUCAGGAAAUCAGUUCUUCAGAGACGAGACAGCAUCUGUUAGACAUUCCGGUGUUUGCAUUUAAUUCCAGUGAAUCACAGAUGGGAGACUCAAACAAACUCCUCAAGGACCUUUCAAGCAUCAAGUGUCUGCAAAGCCACACCUGGACUUUGGCACUUGAGCGGUGGAGAUCAGUGGGACAGUGUUGCUCUGUAAUGGUCUGCAAAGCCACACCUGGACUUUGGCACUUGAGCGUGGAGAUCAGUGGGACAGAAUAA
rnacentral:lncRNA from 1 species